rnacentral:ribozyme from 1 species
CAUCACCGGCGGCGGCUCUCGUGGGGAACUUCAGUCUUGGCGGCGGCCAGCAGACAGCACCACAAGGAGGAGGGAGCGGCAGACUGGACGGGCAGUCGUUGAAAGCAUUGUACCGAUACCGUGCGCGUGC